CUACUCACUUCCACUGAGCCUCCUCAGCACACACUGUUCUUGCCUUCUGCUGGGUCUGUCUCAGCCACUGUGACUCUACAGACCUGCUAUGGCUCCUGUUUUGUCUUCUGACUCUCUCUACUCUGUCUGUAGUAGGUCACUUUCUGCCAUCACACUCUCUACUCUCACUGUAGUAGUUUUAGGCUAGUGGCAUAUAAGUGCACAGGGGUUUUUUUAGCAUUUCCUAUGGCUCCUUUAGUCAUCCUCUUCACCUACCUUAACCUAUGUGAAUCAUUUCAAUGUUGCCUAACUGCCUUUUGGAGCAAAAGAAACAUCCUGAUACGUACAUACAUCUUGCCACCUCAGACCUCCCAUCAGCAUAGAAAGGGAUAGUCUGAUUCACCUCCAUGUCACCUCUCAUCUUUCCAGCUUUCCCCUUCCUGGCCACACUAGGACCUCUGGUGAUCACAACAACUCACAGAAGAUAUAUUCCUUGAGUCUCUCUGCUACCUACUUUCCAGGGGCAGCAGCUGACACACUGCCCUCUAUAUGAAGGGUAACCUGGGGAGAAGGGACUGCUGCAGCUCGACCUGCUGCUACUGCAGCACUAUGCCCUUUCCCUCUCUCUGUUGACUAUUUUAAUGGUUCUUCUGUACUUUUGGACGGCAUGGAUGAGUCACAGGUAACCCCCUUUCCGCUUGUACACACAUUUGUUUGCCUGCUUGCCCAGUGAGAUGGCUGGGUUUUGGAAGCACCAGGUGCAGCUGCUGGGACUGCUGGUUGGAGAAACAUUUGCCUCCUGAGCCCGUUAAUUAGCACAGUAACGGUAACUGUGCUCCAUUAGCCAACCCAUGUGGUCAAGUCCCCUCCCCGUCCACCAACCUUGCCCUUAAUGAGAGCUGGAAGGGGGACACUCACAAAACACUGCUUCAGAAUAAUAUUCGGCUUUGUCCACGCCGGUAACGAGAGCUGACAGGAUCACUACGUCCAUUUCUCUUCUAAUUAGCACACUUCCAGCUCGGCCUGAGCCAGCAGCCAGAGAAAAGCGAUCGGACAACCGUACCGAAUCACAAACACAAAGAGGCCCAUUCCCCAUAAUUAGGUGAGACAAUCCCUCAGUCUUUUCUCGGCUGGAGCUUGCCGGUAAGACUCUCGCUGUUUUGGUAAGUCCCAGCAACACAAGUUACACGUCUCCCCAGGACACUAAUAAGCCCCUAAUUGUCUUCCGCUUCACACGGCUCGUACCAUAGGUCUGACUUGGGGGAAUUCUUCUAACAAGCGGCAGCCAGCGCUCCCUGCGCCACAGACGGACAGGGAGCCGCCUCUCGGGCACCGGCAGGAGAAGGGGGACGGGGAGAAACAGCCAGAAAAGCAGUCCAGGCGCUGGGGCCCAGCUACGUGGCACGGGGCUGGUGGCUGGGCAGCAGCCACAAGGUGCUGGAGACAUGGAACUUCUCCAUCCUUGCUCCAUCUCCACUGUCUCCCUGCGUGGUGGAAACCCAAGUUCAACUCUUUGGCCUGCCUUCUCCUCUGUCAUCUCCAGUGGUGGUCACAGGAAUCAGCAGGCAGGCCAGAGGUCAACCAUACAAACCCAACAAGAAAACGCCUACUCUGUACAACCAUCAGCUGCCUGGAGUCAGUCAUCCCCCUCAAAGGGACACCACAGAAAAGGUCAAGUCUAAAAAUCGGCAGUUUCAGUGGAUGAUGAAGUCAAAAUGUGAAGAGAUCCUGCCAUGCUGAAAAUCUAGCACAACCUUAAUAAAACUGGCAUUGUCGCACAUUC